CUCAGUGAAUCUCCUCUUCACGCAUCCUGCUGCCGUGAUGAAAGAGCUAUUGUGCUGGGUGGCCUCCUGAAUAAGCUGCUUUCAUGAGGAGCCUCCACAAUCAGGGUUAAAGGUAGGAGUCCAGACGGGAGGUUUUCCCAUCUCAGCCGUCUGUCAUAAGUAGCUCCAGCUGUCCUCCUCGCCAUGUCUCAGGCGCCAACAGGUAUUUUCGUCACCAGAUUGCCAAACCAUUGGACCAUCUACUCUACAACACCCAAGGUGACCUUUAGCAAAAUACAGAACGGUGUACGGCGGAGAGGAAAGGGUUAUUGGAAACACUGCAGAGCUGGAAUGUAGCACCAGCUGAAUGAAUUGUGAUAGAUAUUUUUUUCCUCAUGCCACCUUUUAUUGUUCAGAAAUAAUCCAACAGAAACUAUAACCUUUUUUCUGCAGCAUAGUCUCAUUUGUGAAGAACUGAAACAACAACAAAAUCCAUACUAUUCUCUCUCUUUCUUUUUUUUUUUUUAAGAGUCUAGGAUUCACUUCAAUUUUUGGAAACUGAAUAAAUUAAUUUAUGUUCCCAGAUGCAACAUUUCUACCUUUUUCAGGUAUAGACCUGCAAAACAAUUCUCUCACCUCAUAAAAUUGUUAAAAAUAAGUGCUUACCAGUGUAAAAAUAUAAGAAAAUAAUGGCAAGAUUCUAGGAAUAGAAAAAGUAUUCACACCCCUUGAACAUCUUUACAUUUUAGUUUAUUCUAUUGUGAUUUCACGAUAGACCCAAACAAAGAAAAUGCACAACUGUAAAGGAAAAUAAAUGUUCUAUGAUCUUCAAAGUCUGACAUAUAUUUGUGUUCAGCCAAGUUAUCCUGGGACAUGGUGGUAGCAGCAUCAUACUGUGGGGUCAAAGUUGAUGUGAAGAUGGAUAGAGCUAAACAGAGACUG